rnacentral:rRNA from 1 species
AAUGUGAGGAUAGAAAAUAGAACCCCUAAGGUAAAAACUAUUUACUACAAGGUAGGCUGAAACAUGAGAGUGUGGGGAGCAAACAGGAUUAGAGACCCUGGUAGUCCACACUGUGAACUUUGAAGAUGAUGCUUAGCAGACCCGAAAGGUAAAAUCUUCCGCCUGAGUUGUACGAUCGCAAGAUUAAAAUUCAAAAACUUUGGCUGUUCACUAUUUCGAUUAGAGGAGCGUGUAGUUUAAUUCGAUGGUCCGCGUGUUACCUUACCCCAACUUGAAUCUGUGACCGGUAUUGCAUGGCCGUCGUAAGUUCGUGUAUUAAGCUAGAAGGGACCCAACCCGGGCAUUUGCCCGGAGGAAGUCAGGUCUUAUGAUCCGAAUGUUGGGGGAUUUUAUGCGCUACAUUUUCUUAUAUAAUGAGAAACCUGGAAGGUGAAUCUCUAAAGUAAGAGUUCGGAAGGUCGCUGUAAGACGACUGGAAGUUGGAUUUAAUAGUAAUCGGAAAGUAGGGCGUUCCGGUGAAUUGGUACAAGUGUUAGCAC